AGCAGCCGCGGUAAUUCCAGCUCCAAUAGCGUAUAUUAAAGUUGCUGCAGUUAAAAAGCUCGUAGUUGAAUUUCGGGACUAAUAUGUCGGUCGUGCCUCGGUACGUACUGGUUUAUUGGUUUCUCCUUUCUGAAGAACCAUGAUGUCAUUUAUUUGGUGUCGUGGGGAAUCAGGACUGUUACUUUGAAAAAAUUAGAGUGUUUAAAGCAGGCUCACGCUUGAAUACAUUAGCAUGGAAUAAUGAAAUAGGACGUUUGAUUCUAUUUUGUUGGUUUCUAGGAUCGACGUAAUGAUUAAUAGGGAUAGUUGGGGGCAUUAGUACUCAAUUGUCAGAGGUGAAAUUCUUGGAUUUAUUGAAGACUAACUACUGCGAAAGCAUUUGCCAAGGAUGUUUUCAUUAAUCAAGAACGAAAGUUAGGGGAUCGAAGACGAUCAGAUACCGUCGUAGUCUUAACCAUAAACUAUGCCGACUAGGGAUCGGAUGAUGUUAAUUUUUAAUGACUCAUUCGGCGCCUUACGG
rnacentral:misc_RNA from 1 species